GUUUCUAUGGUGUAGUGGUGAUCACAUUCACUUAACAUGUGAAAGAUCCCCAGAUCGAAACUGGGUAAAAACA